rnacentral:miRNA from 1 species
CUUUGAUGGCCUCUAGGAGAAGAGGGCUCUCUCCUUGGCCAAGGGUGACCUGGAGAACCAUUUAUGAGUCAAAGAGCAGCAAAGGGAA